UGUGCGCCCUUAAACUGUUAAUCCAGAAUACUGUAGUUGUAUCUCUCCGUCCACUUCCACAGCACGGCAAAACCAGUCCCAAAAUAACAUGUUUGGUAUAUAAAUGAAUGUGAACAAAGUGGAUUAUGACAAUAUAAG